rnacentral:lncRNA from 1 species
ACACUAUUUGAUUUGAUUUGAUAUUCAACAGAGGUAGUCUCUGUUCCACGGUUAAAAGUUCACCAAGCACAGAGCAGGGGAGCGGUCAAUCACCAUAAUCUUAUUAAAAUUAAUACCAAAGCACAAGUUGGAGAAACUAAUAUCACAAUUAAAUGUGGACUGUUAAAUAUUAGACCUCUUUUGUGUAAAUCCCUGUUAGUGCACGACCUGAUAGCAGAUCAUCACAUUGAUUUAUUUUGUCUUACUGAGACCUGGCUUCAGGAGGAGGAGUAUUUUAGCUUAAAUGAAUCUACUCCUCCUACCCAUCCUAAUUAUCAUAUUCCUCGUGUUACUGGUUGAGGAGGGGGAGUGGCAGCAAUCUGUCACUCCAAGUUAUUAGUUAAUCCUAGACCAAAACAUAUGUCCAGUUGUGUGAGUUUCCAGAGUGUCAGUUUCAAUUCAGUUCAAAUUCAAAGGAAGGAUGUUGUAUAGUUGUUGUUAUGCGCCUAUCUUAAAACACUGUGCACAGCUGUUGCUCAUACCUUGGGUUUCGAUGGUUGAAGGUGUUCAAGAUGGAGGCAAGCAGGCUGGGCGGGGCUGCUCUUCAGUUUCACUCAACUCCCAGUCUCCACACCUGACGCUCAUAUCCAGUCAAUCAACUCAUCUGCCUUCUGCCAUAAAAGCUUGGUUCACAUUCCCAUCAUAACCAAUUUAUUGUUCAACUUCAUGUGUUACAGCCUGGCUCCCAAACCUUCUGGAUUACAUGUAUGCUUUUUGGAUUCUUGUUUCAAGCUCCAAAAUCACUGUGUGUUUGUUCUGCAGAUCAUAUGUUUGUGCUGCCCAGCCUGCCCGGCCGUGUUUCCUUAGUUUCUCCACCUGAGGUUGUCUGUAGAUUGAUAACUGCUAAACUUUCAGUAAAGCUUCCUUUUGAUCAUCUUUGACUGUUGUGUGUGUCUCUGCGUUUUGGGGUUCAGUUCGUGUAUGCCUUUCCUUACAGUCAUGUUGGACACAGUGUCAAAAAGAAAUUCAGAUUGAGCUUUUUGCAUGAUAGAACUCGAACUUUCAUUUCUGCUUUGAACUACAAACUUUUC